rnacentral:tRNA from 1 species
GCCUGCUUGGCCAAGUGGUAAGGCGUCGCACUUGUAAUGCGAAGAUCGCUCGUUCGAUUCGGGUAGUAGGCA